rfam:Candidatus Buchananbacteria bacterium RIFCSPLOWO2_01_FTLL_40_23b rifcsplowo2_01_scaffold_14059, whole genome shotgun sequence.
GAAGCUCCCAAGGGUUUGGCUGUUCGCCAAUUAAAGCGGUACGCGAGCUGGGUUCAGAACGUCGUGAGACAGUAGAUUCGUGCUGUCUAUAAAUUCGGCUAUAUGCUGGAAAAUCCGAGAAUCUUAUGAUACUCAUCCAUAAAAAUUGGGUAGUGAAAAUUCAUAAGUGCGGACAAUCAGCAGGAAACUUAAUAAUAGUUUGUUAUUAAUAAUAUUAUUUAUGUUAUUGCUAACAAAAUUGUCGAGAGCGGCUUCUAAUAAAAAAAUUAUAUUAUUAGAAGCGUUAAAAUAGUAGUGAUUGUAAAUACAGUAGUGGUUUAUAAUAACCAAUCUACAUAAAUUAUUGCCGUAGACUCGAAUUAUUAUGAAUCCUCAGAGACUAUACGCCGAAAUUCCGAUAAAAAUCGGAAAUAAGAUAUAGUCCGAACUGCAUGGCGACAUGCAGAUUCCGGCAGAAAUUGUCGGAACGCCAUAGAGCAAUUGAUGUUUUAAGAUAUGGUUUUGCAAAGUAACAGAUUGUCGGUCUCCUAUCCACUGUGGGCGUUGAAAUUUGAGGGGGCUCAUUUUUAGUACGAGAGGACCAAAAUGAAUAAACCUCUAGUGUACCAGCUGUCCUACCAAGGGCACAGCUGGGUAGCUACGUUUAGUUUAGAUAAGCGCUGAAAGCAUAUAAGCGCGAAGCUGUCCCCAAGAUUAGAUUUCGUUAUAGGCUCCCGGGAGACGACCGGGUUGAUAGGCGGUAGGUGUAAGGCCAGCAAUGGCUUGAGCCGAGCCGUACUAAUAGCCAAUUUCUAUUUAACCAC